UCGGGAAUUUUGGGCAAUGGGGGAAACCCUGACCCAGCAACGCCGCGUGAAGGAUGAAGUAUUUCGGUAUGUAAACUUCGAAAGAAUAGGAAGAAUAAAUGACGGUACUAUUUAUAAGGUCCGGCUAACUACGUGCCAGCAGCCGCGGUAAUACGUAGGGACCAAGCGUUGUUCGGAUUUACUGGGCGUAAAGGGCGCGUAGGCGGCAUGACAAGUCACGUGUGAAAUCUCUGGGCUUAACCCAGAACGGCCAAGUGAUACUGUCGCGCUAGAGUGCAGAAGGGGCAAUCGGAAUUCUUGGUGUAGCGGUGAAAUGCGUAGAUAUCAAGAGGAACACCUGAGGUGAAGACGGGUUGCUGGGCUGACACUGACGCUGAGGCGCGAAAGCCAGGGGAGCAAACGGGAUUAGAUACCCCCGUGUCCCUGAGCGGGCUGGCAAGGCGCAU
rnacentral:rRNA from 1 species